GCGCUGGUGGUUCAGUGGUAGAAUUCUUGCCUGCCACGCGGGAGACCUGGGUUCGAUUCCCCGCUAGCGCA
rnacentral:tRNA from 1 species